CUUUGACAGGACGGGCCAAACGACCAGACUGCGACCAGGGAGCAUUCCUACCAUUUUUCCUGCGUUCCCUGCGCAUCUCCAGAAACCAGCGAAAAGAAAGCGAGAGGCCCCUAAGUGUCGGACUGCGCUGUCACCUGUCGUCAGUGCUGAGGCAGCGGUUGAAAUGCCAUCUGAGCCUUCUUCACCGGCGAAGGAUUGGUACCGUUCCAAGGCAGAGGAGUCUGCACAAGAGGUUCUCCAACUAAAGAAGAAAGUUAAGACACUGCAGCAAUCCAAAAGAAGGCUAAGCAAGCGGUGUGAUGCGUCAGAAAAUUUGAUCAAGGAGCUAAAAGAGAGGAAACUUUUGUCAGAAAAAGGCCUUGAGGUCUUUGAAGCAACUUUCUCGCCUGAAAUUCAACAGCUUCUUGUCCGAGCCCAUG
rnacentral:lncRNA from 1 species